rnacentral:tRNA from 1 species
GCCUGGGUGGCUCAGUCGGUUAAGCGUCCGACUUUAGCUCAGGUCACGAUCUCGCGGUCCGUGAGUUCGAGCCCCGCCUCGGGCU